rnacentral:rRNA from 2 species
GGUUAAGCGACUAAGCGUACACGGUGGAUGCCUAGGCAGUCAGAGGCGAUGAAGGGCGUGCUAAUCUGCGAAAAGCGUCGGUAAGCUGAUAUGAAGCGUUAUAACCGACGAUACCCGAAUGGGGAAACCCAGUGCAAUACGUUGCACUAUCGUUAGAUGAAUACAUAGUCUAACGAGGCGAACCGGGGGAACUGAAACAUCUAAGUACCCCGAGGAAAAGAAAUCAACCGAGAUUCCCCCAGUAGCGGCGAGCGAACGGGGAGGAGCCCAGAGUCUGAAUCAGUUUGUGUGUUAGUGGAAGCGUCUGGAAAGUCGCACGGUACAGGGUGAUAGUCCCGUACACCAAAAUGCACAGGCUGUGAACUCGAUGAGUAGGGCGGGACACGUGACAUCCUGUCUGAAUAUGGGGGGACCAUCCUCCAAGGCUAAAUACUCCUGACUGACCGAUAGUGAACCAGUACCGUGAGGGAAAGGCGAAAAGAACCCCGGCGAGGGGAGUGAAAUAGAACCUGAAACCGUGUACGUACAAGCAGUGGGAGCACCUUCGUGGUGUGACUGCGUACCUUUUGUAUAAUGGGUCAGCGACUUAUAUUUUGUAGCAAGGUUAACCGAAUAGGGGAGCCGUAGGGAAACCGAGUCUUAACUGGGCGUCUAGUUGCAAGGUAUAGACCCGAAACCCGGUGAUCUAGCCAUGGGCAGGUUGAAGGUUGGGUAACACUAACUGGAGGACCGAACCGACUAAUGUUGAAAAAUUAGCGGAUGACUUGUGGCUGGGGGUGAAAGGCCAAUCAAACCGGGAGAUAGCUGGUUCUCCCCGAAAGCUAUUUAGGUAGCGCCUCGUGAACUCAUCUUCGGGGGUAGAGCACUGUUUCGGCUAGGGGGCCAUCCCGGCUUACCAAACCGAUGCAAACUCCGAAUACCGAAGAAUGUUAUCACGGGAGACACACGGCGGGUGCUAACGUCCGUCGUGAAGAGGGAAACAACCCAGACCGCCAGCUAAGGUCCCAAAGUCAUGGUUAAGUGGGAAACGAUGUGGGAAGGCACAGACAGCCAGGAUGUUGGCUUAGAAGCAGCCAUCAUUUAAAGAAAGCGUAAUAGCUCACUGGUCGAGUCGGCCUGCGCGGAAGAUGUAACGGGGCUAAACCAUGCACCGAAGCUGCGGCAGCGACACUUAGGUGUUGUUGGGUAGGGGAGCGUUCUGUAAGCCGUUGAAGGUGACCUGUGAGGGUUGCUGGAGGUAUCAGAAGUGCGAAUGCUGACAUAAGUAACGAUAAUGCGGGUGAAAAACCCGCACGCCGGAAGACCAAGGGUUCCUGUCCAACGUUAAUCGGGGCAGGGUGAGUCGACCCCUAAGGCGAGGCUGAAAAGCGUAGUCGAUGGGAAACAGGUUAAUAUUCCUGUACUUGGUGUUACUGCGAAGGGGGGACGGAGAAGGCUAGGCUGGCCGGGCGACGGUUGUCCCGGUUUAAGCGUGUAGGGGGAGUGACCAGGUAAAUCCGGUUGCUUAUCAACCCUGAGGCGUGAUGACGAUGCACUACGGUGCAGAAGCAGUUGAUGCCAUGCUUCCAGGAAAAGCCUCUAAGCAUCAGGUAACAUUAAAUCGUACCCCAAACCGACACAGGUGGUCAGGUAGAGAAUACUCAGGCGCUUGAGAGAACUCGGGUGAAGGAACUAGGCAAAAUGGUGCCGUAACUUCGGGAGAAGGCACGCUGGCGUUAGGUGAAAGGACUAGCUCCUGGAGCUGAAGCCAGUCGCAGAUACCAGCUGGCUGCAACUGUUUAAUAAAAACACAGCACUGUGCAAACACGAAAGUGGACGUAUACGGUGUGACGCCUGCCCGGUGCUGGAAGGUUAAUUGAUGGGGUCAGCCGCAAGGCGAAGCUCUUGAUCGAAGCCCCAGUAAACGGCGGCCGUAACUAUAACGGUCCUAAGGUAGCGAAAUUCCUUGUCGGGUAAGUUCCGACCUGCACGAAUGGCGUAAUGAUGGCCAGGCUGUCUCCACCCGAGACUCAGUGAAAUUGAACUCGCUGUGAAGAUGCAGUGUACCCGCGGCAAGACGGAAAGACCCCGUGAACCUUUACUAUAGCUUGACACUGAACAUUGAGCCUUGAUGUGUAGGAUAGGUGGGAGGCCUUGAAGUGUGGACGCCAGUCUGCAUGGAGCCAACCUUGAAAUACCACCCUUUAAUGUUUGAUGUUCUAACUCGGCCCCAUAAUCUGGGGUGAGGACAGUGUCUGGUGGGUAGUUUGACUGGGGCGGUCUCCUCCCAAAGAGUAACGGAGGAGCACGAAGGUUAGCUAAUCACGGUCGGACAUCGUGAGGUUAGUGCAAAGGCAUAAGCUAGCUUGACUGCGAGAGUGACGGCUCGAGCAGGUACGAAAGUAGGUCUUAGUGAUCCGGUGGUUCUGAAUGGAAGGGCCAUCGCUCAACGGAUAAAAGGUACUCCGGGGAUAACAGGCUGAUACCGCCCAAGAGUUCAUAUCGACGGCGGUGUUUGGCACCUCGAUGUCGGCUCAUCACAUCCUGGGGCUGAAGUAGGUCCCAAGGGUAUGGCUGUUCGCCAUUUAAAGUGGUACGCGAGCUGGGUUUAGAACGUCGUGAGACAGUUCGGUCCCUAUCUGCCGUGGGCGUUGGAAGAUUGAGAGGGGCUGCUCCUAGUACGAGAGGACCGGAGUGGACGAAUCACUGGUGUUCGGGUUGUCAUGCCAAUGGCAUUGCCCGGUAGCUAAAUUCGGAAGAGAUAACCGCUGAAAGCAUCUAAGCGGGAAACUUGCCUCGAGAUGAGUCUUCCCUGGGGCUUAAAGCCCCCUGAAGGAACGUUAAAGACUAUGACGUUGAUAGGCUGGGUGUGUAAGUGCAGCGAUGUAUUGAGCUAACCAGUACUAAUGAUCCGUGAGGCUUAACCUU